GGCCGCAAGGUUAAAACUCAAAUGAAUUGACGGGGGCCCGCACAAGCGGUGGAGCAUGUGGUUUAAUUCGAUGCAACGCGAAGAACCUUACCUGGUCUUGACAUCCACAGAACUUUCCAGAGAUGGACUGGUGCCUUCGGGAACUGUGAGACAGGUGCUGCAUGGCUGUCGUCAGCUCGUGUUGUGAAAUGUUGGGUUAAGUCCCGCAACGAGCGCAACCCUUAUCCUUUGUUGCCAGCGGUUAGGCCGGGAACUCAAAGGAGACUGCCAGUGAUAAACUGGAGGAAGGUGGGGAUGACGUCAAGUCAUCAUGGCCCUUACGACCAGGGCUACACACGUGCUACAAUGGCGCAUACAAAGAGAAGCGACCUCGC
rnacentral:rRNA from 1 species